AUCCAGCUAAUGAGCCCCAAAUGGGGUGAAACGCACGUCCUGUAU
rnacentral:hammerhead_ribozyme from 1 species